GAUGAACGCUGACAGAAUGCUUAACACAUGCAAGUCAACUUGAACUUCGGUUUGGGUGGCGGACGGGUGAGUAACGCGUACAGAACUUGCCUCACAGAUAGGGACAACAUUUGGAAACGAAUGCUAAUACCUGAUAUUAUGAUUAUAUGGCAUCGUAUAAUUAUGAAAGCUAUAUGCGCUGUGAGAGAGCUUUGCGUCCCAUUAGCUAGUUGGAGAGGUAACGGCUCACCAAGGCGAUGAUGGGUAGCCGGCCUGAGAGGGUGAUCGGCCACAAGGGGACUGAGACACGGCCCUUACUCCUACGGGAGGCAGCAGUGGGGAAUAUUGGACAAUGGACCAAGAGUCUGAUCCAGCAAUUCUGUGUGCACGAUGAAGUUUUUCGGAAUGUAAAGUGCUUUCAGUUGGGAAGAAAAAAAUGACGGUACCAACAGAAGAAGUGACGGCUAAAUACGUG
rnacentral:rRNA from 1 species